rnacentral:rRNA from 1 species
AAAGGAAUAGACGGGGACCCGCACAAGCGGUGGAGCAUGUGGUUUAAUUCGAUGCAACGCGAAGAACCUUACCUGGGCUUGACAUGUAUAAGAACCUAUUAGAGAUAAUGGGGUGCUGGUUCGCCAGAGCUUUUACACAGGUGCUGCAUGGCUGUCGUCAGCUCGUGUCGUGAGAUGUUGGGUUAAGUCCCGCAACGAGCGCAACCCUUAUCCUUAGUUGCCAUCAUUUAGUUGGGGACUCUAGGGAGACUGCCAGCGUAAAAAGCUGGAGGAAGGUGGGGACGACGUCAAGUCAUCAUGGUCCUUAUGUCCAGGGCUACACACGUGCUACAAUGGUUGGUACAAAGAGGAGCUACGCAGUAAUGCCACGCAAAUCUCAUAAAGCCAAUCUCAGUUCGGAUUGAGGUCUGCAACUCGACCUCAUGAAGUCGGAAUCGCUAGUAAUCGUGCGUCAGAACAGCACGGUGAAUACGUUCCCGGGUCUUGUACACACCGCCCGU